UCUCGGCAAAUUAUCCUCAUAAGUUAGACAACAAGAGGAGUCAUAGUUUGAAAUAACCAAAUUCUAUUAGUAAUUAUAAAACUAAGUUAUUUUCUUAUAGUGAUGGCACAAAAUCGGAAGCCCCGACUGUUUACUAAAAACACAACUAUCUGCAAUGAUGUAAAUCAUAGUAUAGGUAGUGAGGUUUGCCCGAUGCCAUUAAUAUAAAAGAGGUAAUAGGUCACUGUUACUAAUUGAAAGUCUGGUUAAUAGCGGUCUUAACUAUGAGGAUCCAAAGGUAGCAAAAUAAAUUGGCCAUUAAAUGUGGUCCGGUAUCAAUAAUUUAACGAUGGCUUCACUGUCUCUACAACUUGCUCAGUGAAAUUGAAUUACCCGUGCAGAUGCGGGUUACCUCCAGGGGGACGGGAAGACCCUAUGCAGCUUCUAC
rnacentral:rRNA from 1 species